AUGAAAGUUGUACUAACGAUAUUAUGAUUUACUACGUUAAAUGUAAGCAUGCAGUAUGUUACGCGUCAAUAAAGAAGAGCCAUUUUAGUACGUCAGAAAGACUUUAGUAUUAGGUUCAAAAUUUAAAUGUUACAAAUAAAUAACAAAUAAAUAAGUUUUUUCGAUAAAAGAAAAAUAACAAUAAUGAGACGAUACAUCGAAGUUUUACAAAUUCAACGCUGAUGCCAUUGGAUGAUCAAUGUUUUCCAUUAAUCCCAUUGCUAGAAAUAUAACCUACAAAACAAUUGACUUGAAUAAAACUCUACGAUGGAAAUUCGGUAUUUUCAUUAUGUCAUUAGUUCUGGGACGUUAUUAUAAAUGAUCAGUACAACGACAAAUAAGAAUAAAUCAAUUGAUGAUGACUUAAUUACUAUCUUUAAAUGAUUGAUGAAUAAUUGAAGAAGAAAUAUCAACGUUCAAUCAUAUAUACAAUUAUUUUAACAAAGUAAAAUUGAAAAAAGAAGAAGAAGAAGAAGAAGAAAAAGAAAAGAAAAGAAGUUAGUAAUUGGGAAGAAAGGAUUGUAUAAUCUUUUUAAUUAUUAUAUAUUCAUUUCAACAACGUUAAUAUAAACUUAAUAUAGAAGCAAAAUAUAAUUGAUAUUUAAAUGAAUAAUUCUAUAAGUUAUGCUUAAAUAUUAUAAUUUUUAUUAACUCUGAUCCAUUUCAUAUGAAAUAAUUUAUUUAAUUUUAUUUUAUAUGUAAGUGCUGUUGUUUAAAUGAAAAUUUUCAAGUUUUCAACGUCAUUGCAAAUAUUAUGAGAUAAAACAAGAAAGUCAAUGAAUAUUGAAAGUCAUCGAGUUAGUUAUUCUUUUCCUUUAAAUAAUUAAUGCUUUAGAUUAUUUUACAUUCAUUUAAACGAUAUAUAAUGUACAUUAUAUAUAAUAGAUUAAUAUUUAAACAAUAAUAUAAUUUUUCCUGAACAUCACAAGAUGAUCUAUGUCAAAAUCAUGUCCAAAAAAUACAGUUCCAUUUUUUGGCAAUAAGUUUUAGGUUAAAAAAAGAAAAAAAAAUAUUUGUGAAUAAGAAAUUAGAGUUACCUCUAAUUAUCGUAGAAUAGUUAACGUAAUUAUUGUAGUUCUGUUUUAAUUAUAAAGUCAAUUGGUAUCACGUUGUUGAGGUUAGGAAAACGUAAUCUAAUUAAAAUUGUCCAUGAUAAUCAUGAUUAAUCCUAUUUAUUAUAGUACUUAAUAUUUAAAUUGGAUUGAUGUAAUUAAAAAUAAAACAAUAAUUUUUAUAUGUAA